CCUAAGACUCUGCAGGAAUCCUCUGGGCCACUUGGCCUGCAAGUCAGGCCGAUUCUUCAUCACUGCAUCAAAUCCCACUCGUAGAAUCAAGCCACAGUACCAAGGGUUGAGUUCAGGAAGCAAGUCCCACACACUUUCUGAGUCUGCACAGAAUGCUUUGGAUUCCCGAGAUCUGGCUUCCUCUGUGUGUUGUCACUGACUCCAGCCCAGCUGCUCACAGCACGGCCUGGGAGACGUUUCCCUUUGCAUUCAACGACACAGCUCAUUUUCAGCCGAGCUAUGGAAAGGCGUGGACGUCCUCCCUGCCGAUCCCGGCCAUCCUCCAUGAAUCACCAUCAUCCUCACAAUUCAGUCUAAAAGGCGAAUACUUUCAGACCUCGCCAACGAUCGCUCUGUUUCUGCUAACUGUCUGGUUUAGAUCAUGUAUUGCUUGGGAAUAUACGGAUUUCUCCUCAUUUACCAGUGAUAAAACUUAAAUAUGAAAAAUCAAAAUUUAGUAUUCCAAGAAAAUAAUCAUGGAUAUAAGCAAAGACUGCCAACUUGUUCAUCGUGACACUGUCUUCUGCAAUAGCAAUGAUAGUAAUAAAAAUUAGAAAAGCACUAAAUAUCCA
rnacentral:lncRNA from 13 species